rnacentral:pre_miRNA from 1 species
AAAGUACUCCCUUUGUCCCAAAAUUCUUGUCUUAGAUUUGUCUAGAUACGGAUGUAUCAAGUCACAUUUUAGUAUUAGAUACAUCCGUAUCUAGACAAAUCUAAGACAAGAAAUUUGGGACAGAGGGAGUAGUUG